CCUACGGGAGGCAGCAGUGGGGGAUAUUGGACAAUGGGGGGAACCCUGAUCCAGCGACGCCGCGUGAGUGAAGAAGUAUUUCGGUAUGUAAAGCUCUGUCAGCAGGGAAGAAAGAAAUGACGGUACCUGACCAAGAAGCCCCGGCUAACUACGUGCCAGCAGCCGCGGUAAUACGGAGGGGGCAAGCGUUAUCCGGAAUUACUGGGUGUAAAGGGAGCAUAGACGGUUAAGUAAGUCUGGAGUGAAAGGCCGGGGCCCAACCCCGGGACUGCUCUGGAAACUAUUGAACUUGAGUGCAGGAGAGGUAAGCGGAAUUCCUAGUGUAGCGGUGAAAUGCGUAGAUAUUAGGAGGAACACCAGUGGCGAAGGCGGCUUACUGGACUGUAACUGACGUUGAGGCUCGAAAGCGUGGGGAGCAAACAGGAUUAGAUACCCCUGUAGUC
rnacentral:rRNA from 1 species